AGUUUCAAUAAAAGAGCAUAAUUUUUCGUGAAACAAAUGUUCGAUAGAAAAAAAGAAAAAACAUUUUGCUUCUUCUUCUAUAGAUUCUUCCCUCCCCCCUCCCCCACUAAUAUAACUUUAUUUCCAGAGAAUUUUUGUGAUCGCGCGCAAUGCGAUCGGUAAAUUCAGUGUUUGCUUCGUUAUAGUUUUCUAAUUUAUAUUUAGAGCACAAUAGCUCUAAUUAAAUUACUAUAAUUAUUCGCGAAAUUAGAGUCAGUGUUUGUUCGCCGCCUUUAUUUGAAAUCGACGCGUUAGUAGUUUUUUAUUUUUAUUUUUUUUAUACUUUUGAACAUUCGUUUUUCGGUACAGGGUAAAAUCAGUGUUCCUUGAGGAAUAGGGCGGUCAUCCAUCACGCGAAGAGAUGCCAGAAGAUCUUCAUUUCUCAUGGACUUUAGUUUAAAACAAUAUUUGUGAUCGCGCGCAAUGCGAUCGGUAAAUUCAGUGUUUGCUUCGUUAUAGUUUUCUAAUUUAUAUUUAGAGCACAAUAGCUCUAAUUAAAUUACUAUAAUUAUUCGCGAAAUUAGAGUCAGUGUUUGUUCGCCGCCUUUAUUUGAAAUCGACGCGUUAGUAGUUCUUUAUUUUUAUUUUUUUAUACUUUUGAACAUUCGUUUUUCGGUACAGGGUAAAAUCAGUGUUCCUUGAGGAAUCGGGCGGUCAUCCAUCACGCGAAGAGUGUUUCAUGUUUGAUUACAGUUGACAUCUUUGGCCACGACAAUGCAGAUUCUUCGCAUCUGUUGGUGAGUCGCAUGCAUUUAUGUUCCUCCGGUCACUCAAUCAUGUUGUAGGAUAAAAGGUCCGAAUCGACACGAGUGACUGGUUGUAUACGUAGAUUUUUGCACGAGCACAAUGACCGCAGGUAUUAAUUAUACCUGUGAAUAGUAACAUUUCUUUUUCUUGUAUUUUAUUUGUUAGAUCAGGAUAGAUCUUCUUGCACGUUGCGUUUUUAAAAUGAUAUUGAUAGUUAAUUUUAUAU